rnacentral:rRNA from 1 species
ACGCUGGCGGCACGCCUAACACAUGCAAGUCGAACGCAGUAGCAAUACUGAGUGGCAGACGGGUGAGUAUAAUGUGGGAAUCUGCCUUUUGGUUCGGAAUAACUCGGGGAAACUUGAGCUAAUACCGGAUAAGCCCUUACGGGGAAAGAUUUAUCGCCGAAAGAUGAGCCCGCACUUGAUUAGCUAGUUGGUGAGGUAAUUGCUCACCAAGGCAACAAUCAAUAGCUGUUCUUAGAGGAAGACCAGCCACAUUGGGACUGAGACACGGCCCAGACUCCUACGGGAGGCAGCAGUGGGGAAUCUUGCACAAUGGGGGAAACCCUGAUGCAGCGAUGCCGCGUGAGUGAAGAAGGCCUUUGGGUUGUAAAACUCUUUCGUCGGGGAAGAAAAUGACUGUACCCGAAUAAGAAGGUCCGGCUAACUUCGUGCCAGCAGCCGCGGUAAUACGAAGGGACCUAGCGUAGUUCGGAAUUACUGGGCUUAAAGAGCUCGUAGGUGGUUAAAAAAGUUGGUGGUGAAAUCCCAAGGCUUAACCUUGGAACUGCCAUCAAAACUUUUUAGCUUGAGUGUGAUAGAGGAAAGUGGAAUUUCUAGUGUAGAGGUGAAAUUCGUAGAUAUUAGAAAGAACACCAAAUGCGAAGGCAACUUUCUGGAUCACUACUGACACUGAGGAGCGAAAGCAUGGGUAGCGAAGAGGAUUAGAUACCCUCGUAGUCCAUGCUGUAAACGAUGUGUGCUAGACGUUGGAAAUUUUAUUUUCAGUGUCGCAGCAAAAGCGUUAAGCACACCGCCUGGGGAGUACGACCG